rnacentral:rRNA from 1 species
GACGAACGCUGGCGGCGUGGAUUAGGCAUGCAAGUCGAACGGUAUCAUCCUUUCGGGGGUGAGAGAGUGGCGAACUGGUGAGUAACACGUAGGUUAUCUACCCUCAAGACGGGGACAACCCAGGGAAACUUGGGCUAAUACCGGAUGUGAGCAACUUUUAGUUGUUUGAAAGGUGGCGUAAGCUGUCGCUUGGGGAUGAGCCUGCGUCCUAUUAGUUAGUUGGUGAGGUAACGGCUCACCUAGGCAAUGAUAGGUAGGCGGCCUUAACGGGUGGUCGCCCACACUGGGAUUGAGAUACGGCCCAGACUCCUACGGGAGGCAGCAGUCGAGAAUAGUCUACAAUGGUCGGAAGACUGAUAGUGCGACGCCGCGUGAACGAUGAAUCCCUUCGGGGUGUAAAGUUCUUUUAUAUGUGAGCAGUGCUUCUUAUAUUAACGUAUGGGGAGAGAGAUAUUAGCAUAUGAAUAAGCAACGGCUAACUCCGUGCCAGCAGCCGGGUAAAA